UACAGAGGGGGCAAGCGUUGUUCGGAAUUACUGGGCGUAAAGGGCGCGUAGGCGGCCUGUUAAGUCUGAUGUGAAAGCCCACGGCUCAACCGUGGAGGGUCAUUGGAAACUGGGAGACUUGAGUGCAGAAGAGGAAAGUGGAAUUCCAUGUGUAGCGGUGAAAUGCGUAGAGAUAUGGAGGAACACCAGUGGCGAAGGCGACUUUCUGGUCUGUAACUGACACUGAGGCGCGAAAGCGUGGGGAGCAAACAGG
rnacentral:rRNA from 1 species